GAUGAACGCUGGCGGCGUGCUUAACACAUGCAAGUCGAACGGUGAAGGUGGGAGCUUGCUCCUGCUGGAUCAGUGGCGAACGGGUGAGUAACACGCGAGUAACCUGCCCCGGACUCUGGGAUAAGCGUUGGAAACGACGUCUAAUACCGGAUACGAGACGAGAAGGCAUCUUCAUCGUCUGGAAAGAUUUUUUGGUCUGGGAUGGACUCGCGGCCUAUCAGGUUGUUGGUGAGGUAAUGGCUCACCAAGCCUACGACGGGUAGCCGGCCUGAGAGGGUGACCGGCCACACUGGGACUGAGACACGGCCCAGACUCCUACGGGAGGCAGCAGUGGGUAAUAUUGCACAAUGGGCGAAAGCCUGAUGCAGCGACGCCGCGUGAGGGACGACGGCCUUCGGGUUGUAAACCUCUUUUAGUAGGGAAGAAGCGAAAGUGACGGUACCUGCAGAAAAAGCACCGGCUAACUACGUGCCAGCCGCCGCGGUAA
rnacentral:rRNA from 1 species